CGAGUCGCAAGCUCGCGAGAGUAAGCUAAAUCUCUUAAAGCCGUUCUCAGUUCGGACUGUAGGCUGCAACUCGCCUACACGAAGUCGGAAUCGCUAGUAAUCGCGGAUCAGCAUGCCGCGGUGAAUACGUUCCCGGGCCUUGUACACACCGCCCGUCACACCAUGGGAGUUUGUAACGCCCAAAGUCGGUGGCCUAACCUUUAUGGAGGGAGCCGCCUAAGGCGGGACAGAUGACUGGGGUGAAGUCGUAACAAGGUAUC
rnacentral:rRNA from 1 species